ACCCCCAGACCUGCCAUUGGCAUGCACAUCUUUAACCACAAACCACGAUUGAAAAUGAGAAAGAAAACUCUCCUCUAGCUGGGCGCUUCAUAGGACUAGCCAGUGCUGACAGCAACAUCCUUCCUCUCAGCAUUCAUGCUUCUGCUACCACCCAGGGGCACUGAGUUCACAGCCAGCUCACAGAAGGUAAGAAACUGCACACAACCCUUAGAGAGGAGACAAUCUUAGACAUGUGCAUGCUUCAGAGAACAUCUGGAAAUUCUGCAAUGUUCCUGAACUCAACAUACCCCUGUUUCCUUGGGUUCUUUUAGGCCAGUUUUCACAAUGGGGUCACACUAAUCCUCACAACCUCUACUUUAGCGACUCAUGAAGCCUCUAUUGUUCUGCAGAACACCAUCCCCUUUCAAAGAGCCUCCCUCUCAAUAUUUCCGGGGGUCUUCGUGGGGAUUAUCACAUCUGCACUUGAAAAAGCUGCCCACAGUCCCACAGGCCUCCAUCGUGGUUUUCCUCUCUUUUCAAUCUCCACUGAUGAUACACACGAAGAAGCUGUGGCCUCACACCCCCCCACUUGGCC